rnacentral:misc_RNA from 1 species
CCAAGCAUUUGGACGGGUCUCAGAGAAGGAGACGUGUUCCACAAGACCGCUGCUGCGCCAAUAUUCUCCACCCUACCUUUUUCAACGUAGGGCAUUGUUGCCGUCAUGAUUGGCCAUGGAACGUGGGAGGCGGCCGUGGAGUCGGCGGCCGACUCGAAGAAGAAGGGCGGCGGCUUUCAAAGCUUUAACCUGGAAAAGCCACUACUCGAUGCGAUUCUGAAGCAGGGCUUUUCCGUGCCCACCCCGAUCCAGCGCAAGGCGAUCCCGCCGAUGCUGCAGGGGAACGAUGUAGUCGCCAUGGCCCGCACCGGAUCAGGUAAGACAGCGGCAUUCCUCAUCCCCAUGCUGAACACCCUAAAGGCGCACGCAAAGAUCGUCGGUAUUCGCGGGCUCGUGCUCUCCCCGACACGCGAGCUGAGUCUGCAGAUCUUACGCAACGGCUUCGCGCUUAACAAGUUCCUCGAUUUGCGCUUUGCUGCGUUGGUAGGUGGCGACUCGAUGGACCAGCAGUUCGAGCUGCUGGCGUCGAACCCAGAUGUAGUGGUCGCCACGCCCGGUCGCCUGCUGCACAUCAUGGAGGAGGCUUCAUUGCACCUCACUAGCGUGCGCUGCCUGGUUCUGGAUGAGGCGGAUCGCCUCUUCGAGUUAGGUCUGCAGCCGCAGAUCGGUGCCAUCAUGCAAAAGUUACCCGAGUCCUGCCAGCGUGCCCUCUUUUCCGCGACGAUGCCUACCGUAUUGGCGGAAUUCACGAGCGCCGGGCUGCACAACCCGGUGGUCAUACGCCUCGACUCGGAGAUGAAGCUGAGUGAUCAACUGAAGCAGAGCGCUUUCCUGGUGCGCAACGACGAGAAGGUUGCCGCGUUGAUCGUGCUGCUCAAGCGUGUGCUGCACGUUGGCGAGGCGGCAGCGAAUAACGCGCAGGCGCUCAUCUUUGUGGAAUCAAAGUUUCAUGUGGAGUUUCUGCAGAUGAUUCUGACGCACUACAGCAUCUCAACGAGCGCGGUGCACGGACAGAUGGACCAGGAGGCUCGUCGCCUUGCGGUGCGCAGCUUUGCGAAGCGUGAAACGAGCGUGAUGGUGGUCACGGACGUUGCGGCGCGAGGUUUGGACUUGCCGCUGCUCGACAACGUCGUUAACUUCUCGUUCCCCUUUAACCCAAAGCUGUUCGUGCACCGCGUAGGCCGUGUCGCGCGCGCCGGUCGCUCUGGCACGGCCUACUCCAUCAUGACCUUCGAGGACUUCCCGUACUACAUCGAUCUUCUGCAGUUCAUAGGCCGGCCGCUGCAGUCUGCCCCGGUACCCGGCGACCUUCUCUUUACGCCAGACAACGGCUGCUACGGCCGCUUGCCCGAAGAGGACAUCCAGCUGGAGCUAGACUUCCUCAAACGCUUGCACGAAAACGAUGUGGAGGUGCGCAGCAUGGCGCGAGUGGUGGAAAACGCGCAUAAGAAGUUCAACCGUACAAAGAAGAAGCCGACGCACGAGGCGAUUCAAGAGGCUCGAAAGCCGCAGUACGCCUUUGACCGCACCCCGCUUCAUCCAAUGCUGCUCGAACGCGUCGGCAGCACCCGUGUGCGUGCUGACGAGGCACGCUUCGACCUGAAGCGAUUCAAGCCGAAGGAGCUGUUCCUAGAAAUAGGCUCAAAGGAGAAGCUGUUCGAGAUUCGCCCGCCGGAGACGGCGCAGUCCUUGGCACGUUCAGCCGACGCCGAAGGCGGGGCAACGAAACGCGGGGCGGCCUCUGCGGCGCCACCAGCGAAGCAGCUGUCCUUUGCCGAGCAGAUGCUGCAGCGUGCGCAGGAGCGCAGAAAACGCGAGCGCGAGGUCGGCAGCAGCACUUCUGUUAAUAGCGACGAUGCGGUGAUGAGCCUGGUGACGCAGCCUCGCCAGGCCGCACUGGGGCAGGAGGAGAGCAUGGAGACCGGCGCCUACCGUGACGAGAACUUCUUCAUGGACCUGGAGCGGCGAGACACGCUCAACAACGCGCACUACUCCCUCAAGGAUGCGACGAUGGACAUGACCGCCGAGACGGCUGAGGAGGCUGCGCAGCAGCGGCAGGUGUUUGCGUGGAGCAAGAAGAAUCGUUAUGUCCAAAUGCACGUCAAUGACGCCAAGGCGCUCCUGAGAGGCGUGAAAAACGAAGCCGGCAAGGCGAUCAAUUACAAAAGCAAGCUUCAGGCCUACUCGAAGUGGAUGAAGAAGAGCAACAUGCGCAUCCAAGAUGUCGGCGAAGAGGAGGACCUCGUGCCGCUGAAGCGCGCCAAGGCGGCGGCAUUGUCUUCCCAGCCGCAAGACGGCGACGUCGGCAAUGGCGACGACGACUUUGUGGACAUCAGCGACCCCAACCAGGGUAAGAAGCUACGUAUCGGACGCAAGCAAAAGCGGCUGCCCAAGGACGGCCACGUACGCUCUUUCGAGGAGAUGGCGGCAAGGCGGCGCAAGGCGGAGAAGGAGAAGAGCCGCCUUGCGCGCAAGAAUCAGCGCAGUGGCUCUGGCAAGAAGAAGAGUAAGUAAAAAAAAAGAAACGCGCAACAGGCUACCAAGCGAGAACAGUGCGGUGACGAGGUAGACCUCUCGAGAGGGGAAGGCUGCAGCGGAAAGAGGACAUAUGCGUGUGGGAGGGGGGUCAGAGAGUGCGCCUGUGCUCUCCGCGGGCGACCCCAUGUGUGCCUCUCUCUGAGAAACCCUCCCCAACUGUGAUACAACAAAGGUGCGAAUGCCGUGGCGCCAUGGAUCACUGAGCAGGGAGCGCCGUUUGAUCUGCUCGAAGGAGUGGCACCUCGUUGUUUUCUUUCGCUUAUAUAUAUAUAUAUUAUUGGUUCAUUUUACAUAUUCAGUAAUGACGUGUAACGUUGACCCCCCACCCUUCCCGCAGCGAAGCGGAAC